rnacentral:rRNA from 1 species
GACGAACGCUGGCGGCGUGCUUAACACAUGCAAGUGGAGCGACGAACCAGGCUUCGGCCUGGGGCAAAGCCGCGAACGGGUGAGUAACACGUGGGUAACCUGCCCCGAUGACCGGGACAACCCGAGGAAACUCGGGCUAAUACCGGAUGUGCUCCCACCACAUCAGUGGUGUGAGUAAAGAUAGCUUCGGCCUUCGCAUCGGGAUGGGCCCGCGGCGCAUUAGCUUGUUGGUGAGGUAACGGCUUACCAAGGCUACGAUGCGUAGCUGGUCUGAGAG